rnacentral:tRNA from 1 species
GGUUGUGGCUCAGUGGUAAAGUGCUUGCCUCACAUGUAUGGGGCACUGGGUUUAAUCCUCAGCACCA